GAAUCCGGGCUAGACCGACGCAUGCGCUCGUCGCCCGUUUGCCGACCCGCAGUAGGGGCCAUUUGGGCCCCAAGGGCACGUGUCGUUGGCUAAGCCGUCGUGGCGGAAGGGUCACGGUGGCCGCCUUGAAUUACAAUUCCGAUCGAGCGGCGAGCUGAAUCCUUUGCAGACGACUUAAAUACGCGACGGGGUAUUGUAAGGGGUAGAGUGGCCUUGCUGCCACGAUCCUCUGAGAUUCAGCCCUUUGUCGCUCCGAUUCGU
rnacentral:ncRNA from 1 species